rnacentral:rRNA from 1 species
AGGAUUAGAUACCCGGGUAGUCCACGCCGUAAACGAUGGAUGCUAGCUGUUGGAGGUAUCGACCCCCCCAGUAGCGAAGCUAACGCGUUAAGCAUCCCGCCUGUGGAGUACGGCCGCAAGGCUAAAACAUAAAGGAAUUGACGGGGACCCGCACAAGCGGUGGAGCGUGUUGUUUAAUUCGAUGCAAAGCGAAGAACCUUACCAAGGCUUGACAUCCUGCUAAUUUCUCCGAAAGGAGAGAGUGUCUUCGGACCGCAGUGACAGGUGAUGCAUGGCCGUCGUCAGCUCGUGUCGUGAGAUGUUUGGUUAAGUCCAUCAACGAGCGCAACCCUUGUGUCCAGUUGUACUUCUCUGGACAGACUGCCCUGGUAACAGGGAGGAAGGAGGGGAUGAUGUCAGGUCCGUAUUUCCCUUACGUCUUGGGCUACAAACACGCUACAAUGGCCGGUACAAAGGGCAGCCAAGUCGCGAGACGGAGCAAAUCCCAUCAAAGCCGGUCUCAGUUCGGAUUGCAGGCUGAAACUCGCCUGCAUGAAGCCGGAAUCGCUAGUAACGGUGGGUCAGCACACUACCGUGAAUACGUUCCCGGGUCUUGUACACACCGCCCGUCAAACCAUGAAAGUCGCCAAUACCUGACGUCUGGCUUCGCGCCGGCCUAAGGUAGGGGAGAUGAUUGGGGUUAAGUCGUAACAAG